AGUGAACGCUGGCGGUAUGCCUAACACAUGCAAGUCGAACGGCAGCACAGUAAGAGCUUGCUCUUACGGGUGGCGAGUGGCGGACGGUUGAGGUAUACAUCGGAAUCUACUUUUUCGUGGGUGAUAACGUAGGGUAACGUACGCUAAUACCGCAUACGACCUACGGGUGAAAGCAGGGGAUCUUCUGACCUUGUGCGAGUGAAUGAGCCGAGGUCGGAUUCGCUAGUUGGCGGGGUAAAGGCCCACCAAGGCGACGAUCCGUAGCUGGUCUGAGAGGAUGAUCAGCCAGACUGGCAGUGAGGCACGGUCCCGACUCCUGCGCGAGGCAGCAGUCGGGACUAUUGGGCGAUGGGCGCAAGCCUGAUACAGCAAUACCGCGUGAGUGCAGAAGCCCUUCGGGUUGGAGAGCCAUUUUGUUGGGAAAGAAGAGCAGCAGGUUAAUACCGCACUGUUAUGACGGUACCGAAAGAAUAAGCACCGGCUAACUUCGUG
rnacentral:rRNA from 1 species